UAGACCAGCAGCAGUUUAAGGUAGACUGAAGUCAAUUAAUGUAUUUAUUGUGUUAUUUUCAAAAGUGUCAGUUAGUUGAAGUAUAUUUUUGCUCAUAUUGUUGAAACGCAUAGUAAAUAGAAACUAUGUAUCCAAUCCACAUGACAAAUGCAUAUAUGGAAAAUACGGAUCUAACAGUCUAACCUAAUAUUAAUUGAUAGUCCUUAUACUGCCAUCUAGUGGCCAAUUAUUUAAUAGCACAAAUGUUCAUUGUCUAAUUUUCUUAGAAUCGUAAUAAAUGUCCUGUUUUUCCAUCCAUCUAUUAUCUAUACCUGCUUAUCCUGGUCAGGGUCGCGGGGGAUGCUAGAGCCUAUCCCAGCAUGCAUUGGCCGAGAGGCAGGAAUACACCCUGGACAGGUCGCCAAUCUAUCGCAGGGCAUAUCCUGUUUUUGUGAUCAAAAAUUGUUUUGGUUAUUAUACAUAAAUAUACAAUAAUUAUUAGAUAUAGCAGACUUAGUCUUUGGGGUUUCUGUUUAUGUUGUAGGUCUUGAUAUGCCAAGACUAUAUAUUUGCAUAGCCUUAUAAAACUGAAAUGUUCAUAAGUGUGAAUAUUUAGGCUUUUGUAAAACAUGAAAGUUGAAAUCAAUUUUUCUGUUGUUCCUGUAUAGGUUAUUUGCAUUCUGUUGAGAUUGCUCUAAUUGCCUGCUAUUUAAACAUCACAUACUUUUAAUAUUUCAUAUUUAAUUCAAGACAUUUUUAAAAUAUGCAUUGAUUACAUGAAACAUUAUGCACACUGCAUGUCUGUUUGAAAUACUGAAGCUAGAUCCUCCAAGAUUCCUACUGUUCUGCCUCUGUCAGUACUCAAUCUACCAAGACCAAUUAGAUUUUUACUGUUUGUUUGGAGAGCAGACGUAUCACUGUGACUACCAGGUAUAUAAAACAAAACAAAAAACGGCUUGUAUUAGCUCUUAGAUAAUGUCGAAAAGAAAAGGUAAAAUAAAUAAUUACACGUUAUUGAGUUUAAUUGAUGUUAAAUAUUCCAUGUUUUGAAUGACCUGAAAACUAUUCUUAGAAACUGAAUGCUUUAUUUUUUACAUGCGUAGGGCAUUUAAAUAGCGGGGUAUUCCCACAUCCAGUAAGCCUAAGCGUUCCAACGUAAUCCCCCUCUUUGUACCAUAUAGGCUGUAGCCAACUGACAAACUGCAGGCGAGGCCACCCCAAGGGCUACAUACGUUAUUCACAGAGCGAAAAACAAUGAACAAUGAACAAUACAUUCAUAACAAGGAACAAAGAAAGAGAAAACAGGACAAAAUUAAACAGCCAUUUAUUUGUUUCCAUGGGGAAAAUGUUCAUUUUUCAUGUUUUUUUUCCAUCUUCAUAAGAAAUCAUUUUCAUUUUAGUUACCAUAUGAUUUACUGGAAUUAAAAAAAACAUUCCUACUUCAUCAGACCGACACUGCAGUUUGAAAAGCUGCUCGGUUUCAGAACAAGUACCCCUCGCAGUCCUUCUGCAGCCAAUCAGCUUCCUCCUCAAGCCCCCGCGUGCCGCACAGUGUUACUAGCUCCGAAAACAGCAAAACGUCUGAGGGAAGUGAGGGAGGCGCAGCACUGACUGUUCAGACAGGUACCGAUCAAUCGUUAUGAUCGACGGGGGCACCCGUUAGUGCCAGCUAACGAGCCGAGACAACAGCCGGAAGAGAGAAAGAGAGAGCGAGCUGAAGCGAUUACUUUCCAACACACUUAGCAGUGACACGUGAGCUGUCCGUACUUUCUCCAUCAGUUAAUUUCGCUACUGCACCUUCUUAAGAUUGUAAAAUAUAUUCUGACAUGUUUUACAUCUCAGGUUCUUAACACACAGCGCCAAAAGGAACAGAGGCACCUUGAAUAUCGGUAAGGGAUUCUAAUUAUUUUAUUUAUUUUUUAAGGCAAAUGUAAUGUUCAGACAUUUUUUUAAAAACACAAAAUACCGAUAACAACUCCUGCGGUUUCGCUGUACCUUUUUUCAGGCCGUCUUCCACAAGUCUACGAAUCUCAGGCGUUCGCCUUUAACAAACCUUAAGCGAUUUGUUCAAAGACAUGAGAGGGUAACAGAGCCUCAACACUGAGCCUAGUACUGUGUACCAGGGGACACAGCAAAGAGAGAAAAAAUGCAACCGAGAGUCCAACCAACCAAGCACAGGGUCCAGGUGCCAUCAGGAGACCCCUGUCCGUCCCAGGCCCUCAGUGCCCUGGGCUGGGGAGAGCAGAAAUCCAGCCCCAGGCUUCUUAGUCCCUGGAGGCCUCAGACUACGUUCCUCCUCUUGUUUGAGUCAAAAGACCAAAAAAAAGAGUCAGAAAUCAAGUCUUUGAUUUCACCGUUGUCCUUAAACACUGUGCAACGAACAAGACCUUGGUUCAUCCACACCAAGAAGAAAGGCGUUACUGUGGCCACUGCUGUCUGCACCGGGACAAAAAGAUGGGCAACUGCCACAAAACUGCCAUAAAACAAGGUCCGACAGAAGAACGAAAACAGCUGAAUUUCAUAACUGCUCAGCAUAAGCUUCAACGUGGGACAAAUGUGUCUUGCUUUCUCAUAUUAAAUACUUGUUCUUUGGUCAUUUUUUUUCUUCUCAGUUUAUAUAUACAUAUACAUAUAUAUGUAUAUAUACACACAGGUGUACUGUUUCAUAAUGUUCCUGCAAAAUCCAUCAAUUAAAUAAAUAAAGACUCCAGAAUUGCAGUCUAAGUACCUGUAUUUAUAGUUCUCCCAAAAUAAACAAAACUUGAAAAAAAAAAA